rnacentral:SRP_RNA from 12 species
AGGUGAAGCAGUGGCGGUGCACGUUGAAGACGGAGGCCGUAACGUUGGCGAACGUGACGAACAUACACCAGUCCUCGUCUGGGUCGGGCGGGAGCAGCAGAGCACGGGGCACCUCGCUCGGAUGCCUCCGGGCGAAGCCGGUCCCGAGGC